UAUAUAUAAUUUUUCCUUCCCUUCCUUCCCCUUAGGAUGUUGAAGUGGGGGGUGCUGCUUCCCGCGGCCCCUAGGAUCCCUAUUCCCCUCAGGGUUCACAGCAAGUCAGGGCUGCUCUUUUUCCCCUUGUUUUCUCACUUUUCCUCCAUCUGCACUGCGGGAUCGGGUGCGCCAGUGGCUUCCUUCAACAAACACACGAGUCGCCCUACUUGCUGUCCUUUUGUCUUUCCCCCACCUGGGGUUCUUUUUGAGAGGUGAGAUAUCCGUUGAAACGCUUAACCAGUUCCACGCAAAGAGCCAAUAAAGAAGGAGUUGGGAUUUAAAUUCACAGGCCACUAAAGCGCUUUAAGCUCCCAGUUUUGAGCCAAACUGCAUUUCUUAGCGUCUGGAGAGCCACAUCAACUUCCAGCAAGUAGCUGAGACUCCCUGAAGUGAUAAAAAAAAAAAUAGCAGGUACUUUUUUCCCCCCUGAGAGCCACACAAAUUGGUCCAUGUUGACAGAUGUUUGUAACUUAGUAACUUCUUGAAGUUUUUUCUUUUAUUUCCCCCCUCCCCUCCUCUAAGCCUUCUUCCGAGCUUGCUUUGUUGUUUUAAAAUAUGCAUGUCUCUCAGGAAUGCAAGUCACGAGUCCAAACUUCGUGUCCAACCUCCCACAAGAAAUGAUCCUUUUAUAGGGAACCCGAUAUGUCUCAAUCUGCACUUCACUCAAAGCCUCUGGAUAUAGGGCACUGGUCUCUGCACAAAAAUAACUCCGCUGAAACAUAUUUCCACCUAAAAAACAUGAAUGACUCCCAGGGAAGAAAUGUAUCUCCCAUAAUUAAAAGCGGCAGAGCUCUGAGGGGAAUGAAGCCUGGAGGAAAAGAAGAGGAAGAGGGAAAACGAAAAAAAAAAAAAAAAAAAGGAGGUGUGUGGGGAAGCAGAGAACGAGAGAGAUUUUUUAUUUCUGUGUUUGUUGCAUCGGGCCGAGAUUAGCAGCAGGUUUAUCCAAGACGAGCCCCUAUGGCAGCUUCGGGUGCGUGGGGAGAACGCGACAGCUCAUGAGGAGCAGAGAAGAGGAGAGAUUAAGGAACAGAGCCUAACUCCGAGAAAAGAGUCCAGAAUGACAAACACUUCACAUCAGUGUCUCUGCAGCCAUUAUUGCUACUUUCCACAGGAACCAAAUGAAGUUUACAGUGCAAAUAUUCCACAUUCUCAUGGGUUUCAGAAUUGCUCUUCCAGACCUGCAUUCAGACACAAACUGAAAGCCUACAAGACUCCUCCGAGGAAGGAUGGCUGAGGGGACAGGACACUGUAAAUGUAGGGUUUGCUCUCCUUUGUGAAGCUGGGGAAAGCAGCAGCCAAGCAGCUCAGGAAACUUCAUACCAGGCUGAGGUCUAUGCAUCUUGGCAUCUGCAGUGGGAGAAUGGCUAGGAAAGGUCUGGGAGCAAUGGGUAUGGUCAAGAAGAUUUACUGCUUUUUAUUUCAAAGAACUCACACCCCAAGGCAAACCUGAUUCCAUGCUAAAAUGUCUUCAGCAGAACUGAACUGCAACAGCAGCUCCUCUGCAGGUGCAAGAGGAGCAGUGAAGCCUGCUCACCAAGGUCAUACCUUCUCCAGCUGCAGAAACCUUCAGAAAUCAAGAGCCUUGGUGUGAAGGACACCCUGCCCCACGCUGCACACUGAGAAGGUGCUCCUGCUCUUUCACAGGAUAAAUGGGACAUGUAAAUCCACUUGUGGUAGAAACGGCGCAUCCCAUCUACUACUAUGGCAACAGGUGGAAGCAUUAGGAUUUGCCCUGCAAGCCUAGGAGCAAGGAUGCUGGUAGGAAACAAGUUUGCUACUGUUCUAAAUUAAGAAUAACGUCAUGUAUCAUUUUCAUAUUUUCUGCCCAGGAGAUACUAAGGAUGUGCAUUGAAGGAAUCCUACUGCUUAACUUGUACAAUGCUGACUGGGCUGUACUUCUAAAAUGCAUGUAAGUACUUAAAUUAUGUUUCACAACAAAAGAGAUUCAGUAAAAACUCCACAAAAUCCCACAAGAAAAUUGAUAAAAUAAAUCUGUUACAUACUUAACAAAUCAACUAGUUGCAACAGCUUUGGUAUGGCCUGAGAAGUACUGAAAUCAAAUGGUUCCUUAUGGCAUCCAUUACCUAAGGGGGAUUUCUGAAAUAUGAAAAGCAGAUUCUUUAUAAUUGAGUUUCAUAUCCCAAAUGGAUCACAGAGGAAUUCCUAUUGGACUUUUGUGUAUAACGCAAGCAAGUCCUCUGUAGUUUGGGAUCUCAAUAGUUCCCUUUAAAAGAGCUUGUUUUCAGUUGUUUAUAAGUUUUGCCAAGCUAAGUAUUUGGGAUGAAAAUUCCCCGGUUCUGUCUCUGCCUUAGGCUGAUUAUUAUUAUUUUUUUACAUUUCAAGUGAGAGGAUUUAGUCACUUCAGGAUAAGACUGAAGGAAAACAUAUUUUGGCCCUGCUGGGAGGAAUAAAAAAUGAAACAAACAAAAAAAUAAAAAAAAAGGUCUUAAAAGAAUUUUGCUGAGUAGCUCCUCUGUAUUCUUCACAGUUUGAAAUUUGGAAGGCAAGGUCCCUGGUGUCCUUUUGUAACUCCCAUGAAAAAACAGCCAGCUUUUUGCCUAGUCACAAGACUUUGUAAAAACUCAUUUGCAUAUGCUCAGCAGAGUCCCCAGAAUCUGUAAGUCUAAGUGGCCAAAGAUUCCUCUGAAGAUGCUGUUAGCCCAGAGUCGACAGGGCUAAGGCAGACUUUUUUUUUGCCACUGCUGCUCCCAGAUGUUGCAGUCUAAUGUGGCAUCAGGCACAGGAAUUAGGUGCAGACAGCACUCUAUCCUGGGCUCCAAAUGCAGGCAGAACAAGGGGAGAAGGGAAAAAAAGCAGCCUAAUGUAAGUAGAGAGAAGAACUAGUCCAUGGGUAGUACAUGAAUGAGUGAAUCAAGGCAUGAGGUUGACUGUGUAAAAAGAUCAAAGAGAAGUGGCAUAGGAACACCAAGGAAAGUGAACACCCCUCCAGGAGAGGGAAAGACUUUGAAAAGCAGGGAACUGGCUGCAAAGAGAGGUUAGGAGACAGACUGGAGGGACAGCACAGUCUGGACACAGCAGGGACAGGUAAGCAGACAUGGAGGGGAGGAGAGGCACAAUGGCACAUGACUCUCAUGACUCUCCAGCCUAGGUAAGAGCUGCCUUAUGGGAGCCUCAGUCUCUCCAGGCAAAGACAAAAGUGCCAAUGCUUCAUUCUCCCUUGGCUGUGGGUCACUGAGAAGGUGACAACCUAUUGCACUAAUACUGUCAGCACCUUUACCUCACUUUACCAUGCCGUGUGUCUGAGCUCAAACUCCAUGUCUGAAAUCUCCACCUCUGCAACUGACCUGCAGCCACAGAACAUCACACGAUAAAAUUGCCUUUCUUAGUCUUAUUGCGGUUGAAGAAAACAAAUUUCACACAGAAAACUCUAACAGGAGAAUAAUUGAAGCAUGCAUGCUGAAGAGACAAGUUAAGGACAUUCACUUUAGUCAAUGUCAAAAUGGUUCAAGCAAAACUGAAGGGGGAUGGUGCUUAAUGUUGCUGCUUUGGUACAGCUUGUGUUGACCUUGCAGAGAGUGUUAUGCUGCCUUUGAGGAUCACUUGUGCAUUUCUCCACCAGACGCCUCUGUUGACCUGCAGCUAUUGCCUAGGAGUAGAGAGAACUGGUCCAAACAGAUGAGGCUUUUGCAACAAAAUGUGAAAUAACCCAAUUUCAAUGCAGUACAAUGAGAAAAUGAAGGAGAAUGUAACACAGUUUGAAUAUGGGAAACUCCUGUAAUACAUUGUUGUGAAAUGUAUAUUGGCUAUUACAGGGCAGUGAAAGAAAUUGUAAGCAUUUGGAUAAAAACCUCCAGGUGUUUAAAGUAAAGACUAAUAGCUAUUUUAAAAAGUAUCAAUAAGGAAUUAAUCUCAUUAACAGAAAAAACUUUAAAGAGCCCUAAGCUCCAAGGAGGAUUUUUUGAGCAUCUAUAGACACAAGUCUCACUGUAAGCAGCUCACAGCUGAGCUGACUCUCUAAUCUCUGCUGGUGGAAAGACAUUGCUCUUUCUCAUACAUUCAAAGUUUCCAGGUCACCUAAAUUCCCAGCAGCCAAAGAAGUGCAAAGCGUCCCCUAAUGGUCUUUCUUAUAAAUCUACCUGAUGGUAAAUGCUAUUUUAAUCUGAGUGUGUAGUUGCAUUAUGAAGUUGUGAUCACAUAUAAGAGGUAAUACAGAAAUAAUAGUUUGUUAUGGAAACAUAGAUGAGGUACACAUGAAGGAACUUGAAAGCCACACAACAAGGCCACUGAAAGCUUUAUGUUUCUAUUAUUUAAUUCUUUCCCGAGAUGAUAACUGAGAGUAAUGUGAAGACAUGAGUCCUUUAAUGAUCCAACAGGAUCCCCUGCUGCAAACAUAUAAGUGAGGUGACUUUUGUUUCAUAGCAGUCUGUUGUUCUGUUUUCCCACCUGUUAAAAAUAAACCUUAUUUAAGACAAAAAAUUACUUUGCAAGCCUACCCGCAACUUUUUCUUAGGGUGAUCCACAGUCCACCAAAAAUCUCAGAUGCAUUAGCAUCUAAACUAGCAGAGAGCAGAGUAACACUGGUGACAGGCUGAAUGUAGCAAUUCCAAGGGAAAUCACAGGUUGGCUCAGUCUGGAGGAUGCACAAGCCCUGCUGUGGUCCUGCAAAUCUAGUGGUAUAAGAAAGGAUCUACAGAGCUGCACUCGCUGCAGGGGAUAAAUUGUUUUGAAGGAAUCAAAACAGGUAGGUGUACAAAAGUGUGAAGUACAAAAUGUUUGCAUCUUGCUUAUGCUCCAGCCUGAGCUUCAGCUGGUCUUUCACUGUAGCAUAACUCAAUUAGACAAUCAGAAGUUUAAAUAUUUCAUAUAUUACUAGAGCUAAGAAUGGCUGGUCACUAAAAGCAAUAUUAUUCUGUAAUAAUAUCACAUGCAUUUGUAGACUCAUCUCUGCAGUUUGUUUCUGUGGCUUUAGAUAACAGUUACUUUGUAUUUUUUUUUGACAUUUGGUUAACAGAACAGUGAUAAAGAAAAUGAGUAAAUGAAAAAACUGUAUGAAGAAUCAUGCAAAAGAUCAUAAAUGGCAGAUAAAAGUAUCAGCAAUGGCAGUUUUAACAAGUAUCUUAUAGGAAAGAACACAGCAUCCAAAUUUUAACUUUGUAUGAUAUAUGAUGCUAUGACAUAUAUGAGUUACUUAUUUUGUAAUGACAGCCAUGUAUGGUUUCUUUUCCUUGUGUCAGCUGCUAGCACAUACACUUCUGUGCUAAUAUGACAGUAUUCUUUGAAUGAGACAAAAAGGAAUGAUGACAGAGCUACUCUGCAGCAAGCAGAAUCAGUUACUCCCUCAGCUGAUCUAAUUGAUCAAUUUCAAAUCCAGCAAAUCUGCUAAGUCCAGUCAAGUCAUAGAAGGCUUUGUUUCAAAUAUGAAAUAUGUAACAAGCCAGGCAAAUUAUGAAAGCAUUAAUACAUCCAAAGAAGAAAUCACCUUAUAAACAUCAACGUUCAGUAAUAUACUUAAGGCAAUUACACUGCUCAUGCAACAUGUUAUCAUUUUGAUAACACUACACAAGCUGCACACUAUUAUCCAUAUCUGGCCCAGUAUUUACCAACUACUGUUUGUUGCUCUGUUUGCUAGUGCCAUAUCACAACAUCCAUCCCGGGUUUGGCAAUGACAGAUGUUGCUAUAUCUACUCUCAGCAGGGUCUUUUGCUUAGCACCACAGGAUGCUCUUACCUUGGCUCUGUACAGUACACAAACUGGUGAUGCAAAAAUCCCAGUUCUUAGUGGCUCUGAAAAGGUAUAAUGUUAUAACACCUUGAUUUAUUCCAGCAGACUCUUAACCCAUGCAUUUACCAGUACAAUUUAAAUUUCCUGACACAAAAGGGAAGAAAGAUGCUCUCUCUUCCAACAGGGUCUAUGUGCAGAUGCCCCAGCAGUUAGUGCUUUGGUGUAUCAGUCUCUCAAUUAUUUGCCCAAAACUUUCCAAAUACUAGUCCGAUUUUCAGGACAAGAACUUUUCUACUCCCUUUCUCUUGAAUGCAAACUGGGCACUACCCCAAACAUUUAUUUCUUAAAAUAACAAUAUCCCAUCUGUUUAACUAUCUAAAGUGAGAAACUCAGCAGAUAACCCAUUAUAUAAUGUGGAAUGCGCAUAAGACAUGAAUUAGUUUGCUGAACAACAGUUACUGGGAUUUACUAAUGUUUUUGGGUUUCUCAAAUUCUUCCUCUUCAAAAUAUCUACCUCCAAAAUUUAAAUGAUGUCAUUUAGCACAGAAGACUAAUUGGCAGGCUUCUCAGGGAGUAGGCAGGUAAUGGUGAGUUUUCUUUAAAGGGCUCAUGAUACAUAUGCUAAUUUAAGACUAUCUUUACUUAAUGUGGAUAAAGAACGGGAAUAAUACUGUGAAGAAUCUGAAGCCAGAAUAAAAAUAAGACUAAAAGAAUUUAGCUUCUCACUUUUUAAAGAUAAAUACCUGGGGAAAAAAAGUCUUUCAUUUCAUAAAAUUGCCAGCUUUGCAAUCCAUACAGGCCCCCUUACAGCCUUUUCAAAGAAAAUAAAGAUAGAUCAUUGUGCAAGCAGCAACAUAAAUUUCUGCUGUGGCACUUUUGCUAAGAGGAAUGUUUGAGUUAUGAUUUGUAACAAGCUUGAGCUAUGAAAUUAUGAAAACCUGGCACUUUCACAAAGCCCCAUUAACAAAAAAAUAAAGCACAUCAAGUAGCAGUGCUUAAAACCAGCCUUACACAUGACGUGGUUCAUAACUCUAGGGAUCAAAUGUUCUAUGGAUCACUUGAGAUUUGACUCCAUCACCUGGAGGCUUGAAGUUAUGGGUCAUGUUACUGCAUGAUGUAAAUAUUCCCCUUCAGACCCAUCUGUUUCCUUUUAUGAUAUUAAAAAAUAAACACACCAAAAUUCUUGAACAGUUAUUACAUGUCUCAUAUUCUUUUAGGAGGAACAGGCCAAAGUCAAGCUUGCUGAGCCAUACCCCAAUCAGAAUCCCCAUUUUAUAGAUGCAAGUAGCUAACAUUAAUUACUUCAGUGUGCCACACUGUCACAAAGGGGCAUUCUAAGUGUUAAGGUUGUAUGCAGGGCUAUCAAAGAUUCAUACAGAAAUGUACCAACAUCCUUCAUAUAAAGCUAAUCAAAUUUGAAAUUACUGACAUGUCACCUUGAGGAGGAAUUUGACUUAUUAUUUGCAAAGUAAUGCAGAAAGCAAUGAGAUGCACAGCUAUAAGAAUUACUCUUAUACUGACUUCAUCUUAGUUUUUGUUGUUGCUUUUGUGCCUGCCCUAAACAAUAAUAAACAACAAAACUGCUCUUUGUGCUGUUAAAUUGCAUGAAGGUGAAAUAAGGUUGCUUAGAAGUGCGUGGCUGCGCAAGAGUUGUUUGCCAUCAAUUAAUAAUAUGUGACAGAAAGCACCAAAAACUUUCUUCUUUGCAAUCGUCCCAUACUCAAGGGGGAAUGUUGCCAAAAGUCACAUCAGUUCCAUGACCUUCCUUGCAUCUUUCUGGGCAGCAGGACCUCAUGCAGUAAGAUCAGAUAUCAUGCAAAUAGCAAGCAAGUUUUCAAAUGUCACUAAGUUUAACUGCAUACAUAAUUUGUAGCAUAUUAACUCAUUUGUGUUCAUAAAUCACAACACUGGUGAACACAAGCCAGGCGUUGCGUAUGCAGUUCUCAGGCACAAAUGAACAAUAAGCACCUGAAAGUCUGCCUCACCUAAAGUUUUACAUCAAACAUGUGAAUUGGCUUCACAAGAUAAUGACAAUGUAGGAUCUCCCUCAAAACACAAAGCUGGCCAAGUUCACUGCAGCAUUUAUUCACCGUGUUUUAACACACAGUGCCCAUGCAUGCCAUAGACUGAGCUUUAGCAAUGACAUUUGCUCUUUGUUGUUAUGUAUAGUUCUAUAUGCAUAAGAACACAUGUUUAUGGCACAAUAUAAGCAAGAAUUCCACAUUUGUGAUCAGCUAUCCUGGUAAGUAAAAGACUAUGUGUACAAACAAAUCUGUUCACUACCUUCAAAUAUUUUUGUCAUAUAAUUAUAUCUUGUAAAUAUCUUCACAGAUGUAUAAAAUAUAUUCUUAGGAAAUUUGCCAUAGAAUGUUGCUGCUUAUAUUAAGGAAAUGUUGUGUUUGUGUACUAUGCUCCAUACUUACAUACAUGAAGCAUAUUUGUAUACUUACAGAACUGCCAAAUAUUUCAGUUCUGUUACUAUACUAACACAUUAGUAUUACUGAAAAAAUAUCCUUCCACUAACUCUCCUAAGUCUUUUUGAGACUAGGGUACCAACAUAUCUUUCAGAAAAUGCGUUUUUAUACUGAUAAGGCUACAUCAAACUAGGACUAAGGAUACUACACAUCUAGGUAGGCUUGCAGCUAAGAACCCAGCUUUUAUCUAUCCAAUUAAACCAGGACUUAUUCAAACUGUAGCUUUCACUGCUACCUCCAUUACCUGCUAUCUCCUAGUGCCGAACACUCCACAUAAACUACUACUACUAAACCUGCCAUUUCCUCAUAGCAGCCCAUUUUGGGUAUUAUCAGCUAAACUCUUAAACCAAGUUACCAAACCUUUCCUUUCCCAGAUAGUGUACACAUGCUAGGAUGUACAACAUUCUUUCUUGUGUUUUACCACUAAACCUGCAGCAGGCACCGGAGAUGCCCCAGAUAGACCAAUAAAAUGGAACUGGAAAUUUGUGCAGAAGAAAGCAAAAUAAGAUUGUGAACUAUGGCUUUUUACCAUAUUCCAAAUUUCCUUUUUAACCCUGGCCUUGGUAAUCCAUAAAAGAAGCCAAAAAGUGCACUUUCAUACAGAUGGCUUUGAAAACAUCUGCUUCAAACUUCAUCAAUAAGAUCAAGAAGAAACUCAGAUUCUGGAAAUGUGAGGAUUUUCAAAUUGCAAUUUCAGUAACUAAAAGAGUAACAAGGGAUGUGAGGAGAAUUUCAAAAUAUUAGCAUUAACAACUUUCUUUUUUUAGACAGGUUCUGUCUGGCAAAUAAAGCUGUUAAGUGAUUCCAGUAGCAUCAAUAUUAUACAAAAAAAUGGGAUAUCAUUAAUAACAAUGAAGAACAAAAGAAUUCUCAUGGGAGAUAUAAAAUGCAUGCGCAACAAGUUAAACCCUCACUCUCCUAAUCCAGUCUGAGCCAUUUAAUUUCUAGGGUUUUUAAAAUAUGUUAAAAGGUUUGCUUUUUCCCCCCACAAAAACCUUUUAAGAGGCAUUCAUAACACUGUCACAAAAGUAGAAAGCUGGCAUAGAUAACUUUGUCUACUUGCUAUUGAAGGGAAGGAUAGGCCUGAUGCCUAAUCUGAAGCUGACCUAAUAGAUAAAACCCUUGGGGUCUCAAAUUUGCAUUUCAUAAGCUUAAUAUUCUGCCUGAUUUAUGAUUUGCCUUCUUAAACAAAGAAUGAUGUACUUAACAACUUUACUUUUGUAUGGUUAACUGUUGAUCUGAAAAUGGCACAUAAAAUACAUUUACAUCAGCACUGCCUAAUAGGCCCAUAAUGAUUCUUUAUUAUGCUUCAGUGAAAGGCAACUGAGUGACAAGUAACUGAUUUUGUAGAUCAAAUAACUUUCUGCCACCCCCACACAGCUCCCAGCUGCCGCACACUUUAUAUGCCAAUACAAAUACAGUUGUAAAGUAGACAAAUAUAUUAUAACUAUGUUAUUAAAUGAGACACAACACGGGGUGUUGCAAGUAUUUGAGAGCUGUUCAAUGCCGUGACUGGGAAUUACAAGCAUGCAAAAUCACACACUAAAGGGGCUUCAGUUCAAAAUUACUGCAACCUUCCCUCUGUUACUUUUUUAUAUAUAAUUUUAGAAGUGAUUUUGCUCAGAUAAUAAUUUUUUUUUUCUCCUGUAGAGGGCUGAAGAAGCCUGGGACAUGCUCCCCCUAUGUAGAAGAGGUAUUUAAAGCAAAGCAUUUCAGUAUAAAGACAGCCGUCCUGUCUUUAUAGACAGCAGAACUCCUGCUAUUGAAAGGCGAUGGUGAUGACAUCAUGCACCUGAAAACGCACACGUGGCUGAAAUGCUGUAAAAGGCUCCUGUGUGCCAAAUUUUAUUUUUAUGUAUUACCCUGAAAGUAAAUAAUGGUAAGACAUCAGAGCCUGUCUGAUAAUCUUUGACAACAACCCUAACCCUGUCAUUGUGGCCAUGGGAGAAACCAGCACACACUCAGCUCUGACCCAGUGAGCCUUUUAUCUGUGUGUGUCUCCAUGGACCAAGCAAAUAAAGGGCAACUGGUAAUUUACACAUGAAUCAACUUUCUUGUCAGAGCAGGCACCAGAGACGUCCCUUUUCUCUACCACAGCGAGGAAAAGCAUCCAGGUCUGAGCUUGUCUCUCCAGACAUCAUGCAAGCCGAAGAGCGAUGCAUUGGGACAUGGUGUGUUGGCAGAGGUGUGCUCUUCUGGACACCAGAUAAAAAAUGGCAUCCGCAAAGAAGCAGAUAAAUACUGGCCUUGAAACAGGACUGACAGCAGUGAGCCUUUGUCCUAUUCAAAACAUGCAAUGUCAUACAAACUGAAGCCAAGAUACAAUCCCGAUAGAAGAUUAUACAAGAUACCUGAGUGGGUAUCUGUAAGGAAUUCAGCCUACAUUUUAAUAAGGUGCAAUGCCUCAGGUUUCAUUUCCACUUUCCUGCAGCUGCCUUUUGAAAAGAUUGUUUUGGGCUUGCAAGACACUGGACGUGGAUAUGCAAUAGCACUGGUAAAAUAAUCCACAAACUUGAUUUGUGAUGAAAAUCAGCCUAAAACAUUGCAGUGAGAAAGUCAUCUGUAAAGAUAAAGCAGUGCUUGCCUUCAGCUUAUAUCUCAUUAUGAAGAGAAACUUUUAUCGGUCCACAGGCACCACUCACACUCUCUUUCCCACAGUGAAAAGCAGUGAAGCAUGGUACAGCACAGUUCCAUCGAAUAGUCAAGCUCUCAAAGGCAUUUCUGUAGUUUAAACCACCAAAAUCAUCAUACUGCUAUAAAGCAAAGACAGAUGUUUUAUUGCUAGAUUUGGCAUUUUAUACAUGCCUAUUUCUGACAAGUUUUUGUGCACUGUAACAACCACUCUGCUAUUGCAGAGAUUUUUCUCUGCAUUCUUGAAAUGGAAAGGAUGAUGCAGACUGCCACAACUGAAAAUCUUGAAUUAAAUGUCAGAAGUUUGGUAACCCAGCACUACAAUGCUUCCUUCUCAGCAUCAGCAGAUUAGGUCCCUCCACUGAUAGAUUCCUGAGGAAGGCCUUCUGGAGGCAGUGACUCUUGCUUGCAGCUGAUUUCAGAAAGACAUAUUUUCCUUUCCCUGGUCUUUUUCCACCCUACCAUCGAUGCUAUUUCCCUAAGCCCCAUUGAUCACUCUCUUGUCUCCAUUUCUGUCACUUGUGCUAACAUUUGCUUGGAGGGGCCAGGGCAGAUUAGAAAGGUAGGGAUGAAACUGCCAUCACUGCCCGUCCUCCAAGCAACUCUUAACAGCUGUAGGCACCAAACAAACACGUAAUAUAUAGCUAUUUAAAAUAAGAAAAAAUAAAUUACUAUAGUUACUGAUGCCAUAUUUUGCCUUCUCUGAACCUGAAAUGUAAAAUAAAACUUAGUGUUUUUCUUCUUUUAACCCCAAAUAAAUUUCCUGGUUUUUACAAUUCCA